rnacentral:misc_RNA from 1 species
GGACAAAUUUAUUUAUUG